GACGGAGGAUGCAAGCGUUAUCCGGAAUGACUGGGCGUAAAGCGUCCGCAGGUGGCAGUUUAAGUCUGCUGUCAAAGACCGGGGCUUAACUUCGGAAAGGCAGUGGAAACUGAACAGCUAGAGUAUGGUAGGGGCAGAGGGAAUUCCUGGUGUAGCGGUGAAAUGCGUAGAGAUCAGGAAGAACAUCGGUGGCGAAGGCGCUCUGCUGGACCAUAACUGACACUCAGGGACGAAAGCUAGGGGAGCGAAUGGG
rnacentral:rRNA from 1 species